ensembl:lncRNA
AAAAAUGGCAGUUCUACAGGAGCUUUCUAGAUGGAAAUUCAAAUAGGAUGGUACUAUGGUAGUGUUUUGACACUGCAAUAUUUUGCACUACAGGAAGCUCAAAGAUGCUGCUGACGAUGAACAGUCCUUAUGUUGGAGAUCUUACUUUGAGAGAGUGUGGUAUCGUAUCCAUUGACUGUCAAUACCAAUGGGACUAUUCUGUUUGAAGUUCAGGGUGUGGUAAGGAAUUCUACAGAAAGUUAUAGGUUUUUUUAGUGGGAUACAUACAAUUUUUCUCAUAUGCUUGAGACUGGCAAAGAAGUAGGGCAUUCUUUUUUUUUUUUUUUCGUAAUGCUACUCAAGAGCAGCUUGAUUUUCUAACUUUAGUCUAAUUGUC